GACGAACGCUGGCGGCGUGCUUAACACAUGCAAGUCGAACGGAAAGGCCUUUUCGGCGGUACUCGAGUGGCGAACGGGUGAGUAACACGUGGGUGAUCUGCCCUGCACUCUGGGAUAAGCCUGGGAAACUGGGUCUAAUACCGGAUAGGACCGCACUUUAGUGUGUGUGGUGGAAAGUUUUUUCGGUGUAGGAUGAGCCCGCGGCCUAUCAGCUUGUUGGUGGGGUAAUGGCCUACCAAGGCGGCGACGGGUAGCCGGACUGAGAGGUUGGUCGGCCACAUUGGGACUGAGAUACGGCCCAGACUCCUACGGGAGGCAGAAGUGGGGAAUAUUGCACAAUGGGCGCAAGCCUGAUGCAGCGACGCCGCGUGGGGGAUGACGGCCUUCGGGUUGUAAACUCCUUUCGCCAGGGACGAAGCGUUUUGUGACGGUACCUGGAGAAGAAGCACCGGCGAACUACGU
rnacentral:rRNA from 1 species